rnacentral:tRNA from 2 species
GCAAUUAGCUCAGUUGGUUAGAGCGCCACCUUUACACGGUGGAUGUCGGGGGUUCGAGUCCCUCAUUGCCC